AUUGAACGCUGGCGGCAGGCCUAACACAUGCAAGUCGAACGGUAACAGGAAGCAGCUUGCUGCUUCGCUGACGAGUGGCGGACGGGUGAGUAAUGUCUGGGAAACUGCCUGAUGGAGGGGGAUAACUACUGGAAACGGUAGCUAAUACCGCAUAACGUCGCAAGACCAAAGAGGGGGACCUUAGGGCCUCUUGCCAUCGGAUGUGCCCAGAUGGGAUUAGCUAGUAGGUGGGGUAACGGCUCACCUAGGCGACGAUCCCUAGCUGGUCUGAGAGGAUGACCAGCCAAACUGGAAAUGAGACACGGUCCAGACUCCUAAGGGAGGCAGCCGUGGGGAAUAUUGCACAAUGGGGGCAAGCCUGAUGCAGCCCUGCCGCGUGUAUGAAGAAGGCCUUCGGGUUGUAAAGUACUUUCAGCGGGGAGGAAGGGAGUAAAGUUAAUACCUUUGCUCAUUGACGUUACCCGCAGAAGAAGCACCGGCUAACUCCGUG
rnacentral:rRNA from 1 species